UUCCCGGCCUGGACUCCUGACUGAAGAAAUGCUACGGUCUGGGUGGUCAGUGUCCCGACCUGCUUCUGGCUGCCUUUGCCGUCUGCUGCGGUCUCUCCACACUGUCAGCUCUUUAUCAUCUGUAAAGUGCAGGGGCAGAGGGCUGGGUGCAGGGUUAGACUGGAUGACCUCUGCGCCCCGCCGGCAUGCUAACGUGGGAUGUGGCCAGUCCUCAGUUACCUUGCACCUUGCUCUGCAGCAGUGCGACACAGCACAGGGGCACCCGGGUCCAGCACAGCAGCAAUAAAGGCAAACCAACCCUUUCUCCGUCUCCUUCAAAGCACUGCUCAUCUGCUGGAAGAUGGUAUAUGUGCUACAGAAAUGUUUCAUCAGACGAAGGGUCACCUGGAAAGACUGAUGUCAGCGUUGAGGAAAGGAAUGACUCUAAAAAUGGGAUACUGAAUAUUUGGGGGAGUCCACAGUGUUCCAGUUGCAACAAAGUUCAAGAAGGACCAAAUCAAGUGAGCCUCAAGCUGUCACCCUGGGUAGAGUGUCCUGGCCUCACAGCUCACAGCAACCUCCAACUCCUGGGCUCAAGCGAGUCUCCUGCCUCCACCUCCCAAGUAGUUGGGACUACAGGCGCCCGCCACAACGCCUGUCUAUUUUUUGUUUGCAGCCGUCAUUGUUGUUUGGCGGGCCCAGGCUGGAUUUGAACCCAUCAGCUCAGGUGUAUGUGGCUGGCGCCUUAGCUGCUUGAGCCACAGGCACCAAGCCUUGAUCAUUAUUUAAGUGUGCAUGUAAACAAAAACUCUUGGUGCACAUCUUGGAAGCUCGUUCACAUCUGCCCAUAAGAGAAAGGCUAUUGCAAAUGGAUUCAGAAGGCAAAACUUUCCUUUCCAAACAACAGUCUUGAUCAUAAAUUCAUGGAGCUCCAGGGUGGCCGAGGCUUGAACAAAGGGAGACUGCGUCAUGCUGAUCAUCCUUCUUCUGAUACUGUGCAGAAGAGUCUUCCUCCAGUCUUGACGACCGGGGAUCAGCCUUAGCUGGCAGCCAUCUGGCCAGGCGGCAGAGGAAUGUGAGGAAGAACAUUGUGAGAAGGAACUUUCAGUCCUGAUGGUGCCAGGCCACUUUCCCUUAUCUGUGGCACUCAGAAGCACCAUCAGAUGACAAAGAAGAAAGCUCUUCUGAGGUUUCUAGGAUCUGAGUGCAUAGAGAAAACACCAGAAUACACCCUACACCAGUGUGAUCAGCAGCAGCACUGCCCGGUAUCAUUGAGGGUAAAAUGGAUUUGGUUUAUGUUCCCCUGCAAGCCAAGUGGCAGGUGGUGGCAUGUUCCUCACAAGUCUACUGAAAUAAAGACAAUCAGAAGUGACGUGCCUGGCCACCUGCAAGGGUGCACUAAAUAUGUUUAUGGCUAAAGGAUUAGACGUAAAUUAAAUUCGCAGGGCAGUCAGAAUGUUGGCACAUUCCAAGAGAAACUUCAGAGUAUAAAAUCUUAUAAUUUGGGACACAGUUUUACUGAGAAAUAAUGAAUUUUAGAUGCUCAUGUUUAAGAUCAGUUCUGUGGGAAGUUGCUAAGGAAUCAGCCCAAAAGGAGAGACAAUUAGACGUCCAUGUUCCCGAAAGAGCAGAAUUACUGCAGGUCAACAUCACUCAGUGACCACCUAGUCACUGGUCAGUUUCUUCUGAAGGUUUCUGUGGUUUGAAGAAACAGCGGCGGUUGGCAUGACUCAGCCAGCAGGUACGGACUGAGUGUCCCCGGGGAGCUUGUUCUGCAGAACGCAGGACAAAACCUCCCAUCCCUAGAAAUAAAAAGUGGGUUUUCCUUGCUUACCAGACACACAUAUUUGUGAUUAGAUAUUUGGACUGAAGGAAAAUACUGCAUCAGCAGCAGCAUAUACAAUAAGAUCCACUUUGUGGUGAGAAAACAUUGAGUAGAUCAUGAAAAAUACACAAACCAAGGGUUCCUCAGAGCUGGACAGCAUCUCCAAUUAUUCAAUAAUAAGUGUGUGCUGCCAGGGAGUUCUAAAGAGGCUUUUUGUACAGAAGGAAGAGCCAAGUUGUUCUACAAACCUAGAAUUAGAAAGCUGGUGAUCCUGGACUACAACGGGACGGGCUACGUACGUAACUGCUGGACCAGGAGGCUGUAAACAGUGAGGCUGAGUCUGGAGCCAACGCAUCUGUGUUUAAAUAUCCGACAAUCACAUUGUUGUCAUUCUUGUCCACAAAAAGGCAAAACUGUUCUGUUUCCUUUCUCAUUAUACUUAAAACUGAAAAUAGCACUCACAUAGUAGACACUUGGUUAAAACAUUGUCACUAUAAGAAGGAAAACAGUAGAUUUUAAGAAAUGUGUUUUGUGGGGAGGUCGGUGAUUGAGCUAACAAUUUAUAUAAAACAAAUCUUGAUAAAUAUCCUGAAAAAAAAAAUAAAUAUCCCGAUGCAGGCUGCCAAGUAUGAGGACAUGACUUCAGGGACUUUCAGCAAGAAAAACACUAUGGUGAUUUCAUUCAUUCAUUUAACAAAUAUUGAUUAAGUAACAGUGUAGCCUGCUCUGGGUGCUGGGUGAAGCCUAAAAGACAGACAUGGCUCGGGUCUCAUGGCCCGCUCCUUCUAGGCACAGAUGAACAGUCAGUGAGAAAGAGGCAAAUACUUCCAUGAUAGUAGAUGGGAGUUCUGUAAAAGGAUCAGGGAGGAUGCGAUGCUAAAAUGUACAGAGGUCCUUAGCUGCUCCGAAUUAUGGGUGAUGACACCUCUGAGAUAAAUUUGAUCUGAGUCCUAAUAACAAGAGGGGAUAGAGUAAGACAAUGGUGGGUUGGAGGAUGGAGAAGCCCCUGUGGAGCAGAGCGGAGACUGAGUAUAAGGUACCUGAGGUAUUAAAGAGCAUUGAGAAACUGAGAGGAGGGCUCAGCGCCCCCAGUGCAGUGGGUAGGGCACCGGCCACAUACACCAAAGCUGGCGGGUUCCAGCCUGGCCCGGGCCUGCAAAAGACAAUGACAACUGCAACCGAAAAAUGGCCGGGCGUUGUGGCGGGCCCAGCUACUCAGGAGGCUGAGGCAAGAGAAUUGCUUGAGCCUAAGAGUUGGAGGUUGCUGUGAACUGUGAUGCCAAGGCACUCUAUCCAGGGUGACCUAGUGAGACUCUGUCUCAAAAAAAAAAAAGAAAGAAAGAAACUAGAAGGAGGAAAAUAGAGCUGUAAUAUGGUAUGCUGGAGCAGGGAGAACAGAUGAUUAGACUGUGUCAAGACGUUUAGAUAUAGCUGGGUGCCUGUAGCUCAGUGGUUAGGGUGCUGGCCACAUGCUCUGGGACUGGUGGGUUCAAACCCAAGCCGGGCCUGCUAAAAAAUAAAAAUAAAAAAAAUAUAUAUAUGUAUAUAAAAGUUUAGAUACGGUCUAAGAGUGAUGGCAAGAUCUUUAGUCAUUGAACAAAGCCAAUUCAAUUUUUGCUCAAAUAGAAAUUACAUGUCUUGCAUAUAUAUAUAUUAAAAUUAUAUUAUCUCUUCUAGAAGUUUUAGAAAACAUGUUUUGUAAUAAGUAGAAAACAAUCAACAUAAUUGUAAAAUCUAGUUGUGAUGGCAUCUUAUUUAUUAGUCUACAUGUACAAAAUACAGACUCCUCUGAUUUCUGCCAACUUACUUUGGAGCCACCCCUGCUUCUUACUAGCCAGAAUUUCAGGAGAUCUUUCUGGAGGCUUCCUACUCUUCUGGGUUUUAUUCAAGAAUACCAGGGGCCUAACUCAGUCCAAAGUGUAUCAGUCUAGCUUCCAAAACUCCAAAUGGGCGCAGUUGGACCCUAGUCAGUCCAUUUAUACCAUGUGGCAGUGCUAGGGGACAGUCCUCCACGAAAGAGCAGACCUCAGCUGUGCACACACUGAGGAGACACACUCGGACGAUUCAGGUCCAGCCUGGGCUGCAGGUGCACCUGUGCUGAGUGCCAGUGUUGUGACGAUGGUAACGCUUCUUGUACGACUCACGGAAUAUUUCAAACACGCACCAAAAUACCGUGUGCACAUCAUCCAGCUUCAGGGGUUUCCAGCUCACAGACAGCCGCCUUCUCUCCUUGUCCACAAUACUGUAAAGGGAUUGCCAGAAUCAUCAUUUCAUUUGUAACAUUUGUAGCACUAAAACAUAGGGACUAUUUAAAAGAAAACCUAGGCCCAAUACCAUUAUCCCACUUAAAACAGAAAUGGCAAGUCCUUCAUAGCAUCAGCUAUCCAGUGUUCAAAUCCUCCACUUACCUCAAAUAUGUUUUUUAAAGUUUAUUUAUACUUUGUGCAAAGAAAAUCCAAAUACAGUCUACACACGGCGGUGGGUCUCGGGUCUAUUGCACUCCUGUGGUUCCACCUCUGCUGUUCUUCUUUUUCCUUUGGCGACGUAACAUCUAAGAAAUGGUGCGUUUGUUCCAUGGUGUUUGCUGCUGUCUGUAUUUUCCUGAUCGUGUCCCAAGAGGGCCACUCAACAUGAUCUGUGUUCCUCUCAUAUUGUUGAAAAAUUGCUAGAGGCUUGAUUAGAUUCAGAUUGGAUUUUUUUUUGGGGGGGUGCGAUGACUUUAUCGUACUUUAUUACAAUGUUUGAUUGCAUUUUCUGUGAGAUGUUAGUAGAUAUAGAUGAUUAUUAUCUGGAUUCUUUAAUACAUUAAUUAUGGCUUGCAAAAUGAUGAUAUUCUUUCAUUUCUUCUUCAGUACAU